UGGCUCAGGAUGAACGCUGGCGGCGUGCCUAAUACAUGCAAGUCGAGCGAAUGGAUUAAGAGCUUGCUCUUAUGAAGUUAGCGGCGGACGGGUGAGUAACACGUGGGUAACCUGCCCAUAAGACUGGGAUAACUCCGGGAAACCGGGGCUAAUACCGGAUAACAUUUUGAACCGCAUGGUUCGAAAUUGAAAGGCGGCUUCGGCUGUCACUUAUGGAUGGACCCGCGUCGCAUUAGCUAGUUGGUGAGGUAACGGCUCACCAAGGCAACGAUGCGUAGCCGACCUGAGAGGGUGAUCGGCCACACUGGGACUGAGACACGGCCCAGACUCCUACGGGAGGCAGCAGUAGGGAAUCUUCCGCAAUGGACGAAAGUCUGACGGAGCAACGCCGCGUGAGUGAUGAAGGCUUUCGGGUCGUAAAACUCUGUUUUUAGGGAAGAACAAGUGCUAGUUGAAUAAGCUGGCACCUUGUCGGUACCUAACCAGAAAGCCACGGCUAACUACGUGCCAGCAGCCGCGGUAAUACGUAGGUGGCAAGCGUUAUCCGGAAUUAUUGGGGGUAAAGCGCGCGCAGGUGGUUUCUUAAGUCUGAUGUGAAAGCCCACGGCUCAACCGUGGAGGGUCAUUGGAAACUGGGAGACUUGAGUGCAGAAGAGGAAAGUGGAAUUCCAUGUGUAGCGGUGAAAUGCGUAGAGAUAUGGAGGAACACCAGUGGCGAAGGCGACUUUCUGGUCUGUAACUGACACUGAGGCGCGAAAGCGUGGGGAGCAAACAGGAUUAGAU
rnacentral:rRNA from 1 species